CCUCUGUGUCCAAGUGCUGGUUUUGUUUCUUUUUGGUUUUUGCCCUAUAGCUUUGACUGUGAAAACCCACUCUUUAAAGCUGAAUUGGAGAAAAUGGCAAUCUGCAGAAAACUCAAAUUGCUAUUUGUUGUGCUUCAGCUUUAAAGAGCAGGUUUUCACGGGGAAAGCUAUGGAGCAAUAAAAAAAAAAGAGCACUUGGACACAGAGC